rnacentral:rRNA from 1 species
AGUGAACGCUGGCGGUAGGCCUAACACAUGCCAGUCGAACGGCAGCACAGUAAGAGCUUGCUCUUACGGGUGGCGAGUGGCGGACGGGUGAGGAAUACAUCGGAAUCUACUUUUUCGUGGGGGAUAACGUAGGGAAACUUACGCUAAUACCGCAUACGACCUACGGGUGAAAGCAGGGGAUCUUCGGACCUUGCGCGAUUGAAUGAGCCGAUGUCGGAUUAGCUAGUUGGCGGGGUAAAGGCCCACCAAGGCGACGAUCCGUAGCUGGUCUGAGAGGAUGAUCAGCCACACUGGAACUGAGACACGGUCCAGACUCCUACGGGAGGCUGCAGUGGGGAAUAUUGGACAAUGGGCGCAAGCCUGAUCCAGCCAUACCGCGUGGGUGAAGAAGGCCUUCGGGUUGUAAAGCCCUUUUGUUGGGAAAGAAAAGCAGCAGGUUAAUACCCCGCUGUUCUGACGGUACCCAAAGAAUAAGCACCGGCUAACUUCGUG